CAGUGAAAUUGAACUCGCUGUGAAGAUGCAGUGUACCCGCGGCAAGACGGAAAGACCCCGUGAACCUUUACUAUAGCUUGACACUGAACAUUGAGCCUUGAUGUGUAGGAUAGGUGGGAGGCUUUGAAGUGUGGACGCCAGUCUGCAUGGAGCCGACCUUGAAAUACCACCCUUUAAUGUUUGAUGUUCUAACGUGGACCCGUGAUCCGGGUUGCGGACAGUGUCUGGUGGGUAGUUUGACUGGGGCGGUCUCCUCCUAAAGAGUAACGGAGGAGCACGAAGGUUGGCUAAUCCUGGUCGGACAUCAGGAGGUUAGUGCAAUGGCAUAAGCCAGCUUGACUGCGAGCGUGACGGCGCGAGCAGGUGCGAAAGCAGGUCAUAGUGAUCCGGUGGUUCUGAAUGGAAGGGCCAUCGCUCAACGGAUAAAAGGUACUCCGGGGAUAACAGGCUGAUACCGCCCAAGAGUUCAUAUCGACGGCGGUGUUUGGCACCUCGAUGUCGGCUCAUCACAUCCUGGGGCUGAAGUAGGUCCCAAGGGUAUGGCUGUUCGCCAUUUAAAGUGGUACGCGAGCUGGGUUUAGAACGUCGUGAGACAGUUCGGUCCCUAUCUGCCGUGGGCGCUGGAGAACUGAGGGGGGCUGCUCCUAGUACGAGAGGACCGGAGUGGACGCAUCACUGGUGUUCGGGUUGUCAUGCCAAUGGCACUGCCCGGUAGCUAAAUGCGGAAGAGAUAAGUGCUGAAAGCAUCUAAGCACGAAACUUGCCCCGA
rnacentral:rRNA from 3 species